GCGCCUGUAGCUCAGUUGGAUAGAGCGCUGGUCUCCGGAACCAGAGGUCGGGCGUUCGAGU
rnacentral:tRNA from 1 species